rnacentral:rRNA from 1 species
UACGGGGGGGGGCAAGCGUUUGUUCGGAAUUACUGGGCGUAAAGGGCUCGUAGGCGGCCAACUAAGUCAGACGUGAAAUCCCUCGGCUUAACCGGGGAAUGGCGUCUGAUACUGGAUGGCUUGAAUCCGGGAGAGGGAUGCGGAAUUCCAGGUGUAGCGGUGAAAUGCGUAGAUAUCUGGAGGAACACCGGUGGCGAAGGCGGCAUCCUGGACCGGCAUUGACGCUGAGGAGCGAAAGCCAGGGGAGCAAACGGG